rfam:TPA: Bos taurus chromosome 4, whole genome shotgun sequence.
UCCCUGGUGGCUCAGAUAGUAAAGCAUCUACCUACAAUGUGGGAGACCCAGGUUCGAUCCCUGGAUUGGGAA